rnacentral:lncRNA from 1 species
CCAGGGCCACCCUCGGUGGUGAGGGAAUCGAAAUCGGAGCCGGAGAGGCGAGUGUUGCGGUUGGCGUCGGUGUCCUGACGGAAACCGCGACCCUUGGUCUUCUUAGGGGCGGUGAGAGAGGAGGUGGCCGCGGCGGUGAUGGCGGAUUUGAGCUUAGGGUGAGGCGGAGAAGCGUCGGCGUCGGGAGCGCCGUCCUCGUCCAUCAAGUCAUCGUCCUCGGGCUCGAAAUCCAAGGCUUCUCCGUCGGCGGCGCCACCUUGCAUUUCCGUCAACACAGUGAAAUGGAAUUCGAAAUUAGUUGGAGCACGUUUC